rnacentral:lncRNA from 1 species
UGGAUCAAUGACUCAGUUUACUCUAUUUCAAGACUAUGAGGGGCAGAGAAGUACUGUCCUGCAAGGGAAUUUUUUUGUUGUUGGAAGUUCCCAAUUCCAGGGAGAUCAGGAGUUCAAUCCCUCUCCCUCUCUUACGUCUGCAAAGAGGGAGGGGAGUGUAGCCAUGCAUGACCUCUGCUCCAUUGGACCCAUCUGUGACAAUCUGAUUCAGUCACUUGGUCUUUGAUCCCAGGUGCCCUUGUGACUCCAAACAUUAGCCUAGUCCUAUAACUAUAAAGUUGCAAAAUCCCCAACAAAAUUGGACUGAGCUCAAGACCAGUGAUCUUUCUCCUGCCCUUAUUUAGAAAGGGAUCAAAUGCCAAGAAGCCUCAUUCAGAGUCAUUUUGAAACCAGUGCAGGCACUCAUGGCAGAGGUAAAAGGCUUCCUAGUAGGGGAAGAGACAAAGCAGUAUGGAGAGCAGAAGGGGUCUAAGCUGUGGGUCAUAAUUUUGGUUAUCAUUCUGGUGGUCCUCCCUGUGCUGGCCACAUUUCAGUGGUUUUUGCACAGAGCCACUUCUGAAGUCUUUCACCAAGCCUUCCCCUGUAAUGAGAGUCAACUACUGGAGGAGAAACUGAAACAAAGCCAGGAAAGCUUCCUGGAGAUGGAGACAAGAUGGUGGAGUUGCAGCAAUGACUCGAGAGACCUGAAUCAGACCCUGGAGGAGUUGACAUCCCAGAGAAACUCGCUGUACACUCAACUGCAGGAGCUGAAGGAAGAGAACCUGGAUUUGACUGAUAAACUUAAGAAGACUGAAACAGCCCUGCAGAGGGAAAGUCCACCUAAGGGUAGUGGGAUACUCCUGUCUACUCUUGCUUCAGAGGGCUGCUUGUAAGGUGAUCCAAAGGUGCCCACAAGUGCUCAGAUCUGCAACUUCCAUCUUCUCUAUCAGCUGCAAAACCUCAAGUGAGUCCAACAGUCUCUUCACUGAUUUGGAACCUUUCCCCUACCAGCUCUGAGAUUCUGUGUCUCAUGGCCUGUCUGUCAAUCUUUGCAACUCAUCUCUACAGUCCCCCCUUUGCACAAAGCCUAAAUCGUGUUGAAAACACUAUUUUGGCAUUUGUGCACAACCUUUUGGCAUUUGUGCCACUUACAGAUUACCUAAACUAAAAUGUCUACCCAAAAUAACAACAACCUACACUCGACUAUCUUAACUUACCUAAUACUAACCUAUUCUAGGAAUUUUAUCAAGGAAAGGAAAAAAGGAAUUAAAUAAUGAACAAGUACAAAUUUCAAACAUAUGCAAAAGCACAACAAGCAAAUAACAUUAAAACAAAAGAUAAACACAACUUCUAUGCAAGCAUUAAACUCAUAAAUACUACUCUUAUCAACUAAUACAGAAAAUUCUACUACUGUUGUAAUGCAUUAAUAUCAAACUUAGAGAAAAAUCUUUGAAAAUUACAAUAAACACAAUAUUGCAUAAGUUUUAUACA